AGCCUUGUGUGCUCCCCAGGAUGAUGGCGUCCGUUAUUAAAACACCCGUUCCCUUGAGUAAGCAGGGGCUGCUUCCGAGCCUCACAAAGGCCACUCUGUUGCUCUGGCUCCUUCCUGGGACCCUAUAGACCCUCCACGCCCUUUUCCAGCAACAAAAGAGGCAGUGCCUGCCGCAGCCUUGGAAGUGGGGUGAGGGUUCCAACUUGGCAGCCAUGUUGGGGGGUUAACUAUUUUAGCUAUCACCCCUAGGCCGAGGGCUUGGAGCCCAUGCUGAUGGAGCCACGCGGAUGACCCCUUCAGGAGAGGGAGUCACCUGCUGCAGGGGGUGGGGGUAACGGUAGAGGGAGGUUCAGGACUCACACGCUGGCUGGAGCAGUGUCCAUGAGAAGCAACGGCACUGCCUGCAGAGAGCUGACAGCUUGUGGCAGAAACGAUCCGAGAGAGAGACCCGAGGGACGAGAGGGUGACGCCACUCCCUGCUUGCGACCCCGCUGAUGGCUCUCCUUCCCACGCAGGACACGCGGGACACCUCCAGGCCUCUAGCACCUAGCUGCGUGACUGGACCGUGUGGCAGUUGGUGCACAAAUGUUGGCUUCAAGGAGGAAGAGAGCUACAGGGACAAGGAAAGGGGGUGGAUGGAAGGUCCAUCGGUGACUGGAGACACUGUGGACAG